CGGGGUGAGUAAUGUAUGGGGAUCUGCCUGAUGGCGGGGGAUAACUACUGGAAACGGUAGCUAAUACCGCAUAAUGUCUACGGACCAAAGAGGGGGACCUUCGGGCCUCUUGCCAUCGGAUGUGCCCAGAUGGGAUUAGCUAGUAGGUGGGGUAACGGCUCACCUAGGCGACGAUCCCUAGCUGGUCUGAGAGGAUGACCAGCCACACUGGAACUGAGACACGGUCCAG
rnacentral:rRNA from 1 species